AUGGAGCUGGGAGCGCGGCGCCGGCGCAGGCGGCGGAACCGCGGACCGGUGAGUGCGGGCUGCGGCCAGCGGUCCCUGGCCUUGACCCCUGUCCUGCUCGGCUGCAGGCCGGGAGGCUGCCCCGCGGGGAGAGGCGGGCGCGGGCCUGGCCCCGCAACCCUGCGCCAAGUGAACUUGCAGCAUGCCCGGGCGCUCGGCGGGGCCCACUGCGGCCGCGCCGCCGCCUGCGCCUGCCCUGCAGCCCGGCGCAUCCUCCCACCGGCUCCCGCGCCGGCCUGGACUUCCCGCCGUCGCCGCGCGGCCCGGCGCCGUUCUCGCCACUGCCGGCCCCUGGCCCACGGCCUUCAGCCCCGGCACUGCCCGGUGCGCGCCGCUCGGCUGCCGGGCAGGCGCCCACCAUCCGGGCCGCAGGUGGCGCCGGGGCCUCGGCCCGCGCCGCACGGUCGAGCCCGGGGCUGCCCCGCGUCCGGGAGCCUCGAGUUCCUCUGGGCUGCGCGCGCCCUCGCCGCAUCUGGCCCAGUCCUCGCGUACCCGCCGCCCGGGUCGGGCCCUCUCCCCUCGGUUUCGCCCUCCACGCCCGAUGCCCCCUCCCUGGGGCUGCGGGCUCGCGGGGUCCGGGCCUCGGCAGCCUGGCUGGGCUCCGAGUGCCUGAAGGGGUCGGCAGCCCGCGAGAGGCGGGGCGCGGGGACGGGGUGCGCGCCGGGACCACCUGGCCGGGAUGCGUCCUCUCGGGGAUGCUCUCCCGGCGCGGCCGGUGGGGCCGCGGGGCCCGGCUCUCGCGCCUCCUCCGCGCCGGAGCUUCAGCGAGUGGAAAGCCUUUACCUCUCCGUGUGCGGUGCUUACGGGCAAUGGCGAUUUCUUCUUGUUCCAGCCUCCCUGCAAGGGAUGGUUCCCUGGUGGAGAGCACAGUUCUUAAUUAUUAAGAAACUAAGCCGUGGGCUCACGGAUGAAUGGACCUUGCAUUUCUUAGCUGCUAUUGGGCGGAAUAGGAAUUCUUUCUCAUUUGGGGAUUAA
rnacentral:lncRNA from 1 species